UACGGGGGGAGCAAGCGUUGUUCGGAUUUACUGGGCGUAAAGGGCGCGUAGGCGGUCAGCACAAGUCAGUUGUGAAAUCUCCAGGCUUAACUCGGAAAGGUCAACUGAUACUGUGCGACUAGAGUGCAGAAGGGGCAACUGGAAUUCUCGGUGUAGCGGUGAAAUGCGUAGAUAUCGAGAGGAACACCUGCGGCGAAGGCGGGUUGCUGGGCUGAGCACU
rnacentral:rRNA from 1 species